rnacentral:rRNA from 1 species
UCCGUAGGCGGUGCGGCAAGUCGGUAGUGAAAUCUCUCGGCUUAACUGAGAGGCUGCUGCCGAAACUGCCAUGCUCGAGUGCGAGAGAGGCGAGUGGAAUUGCGGGUGUAGCGGUGAAAUGCGUAGAUAUCCGCAGGAACAUCCGGAGGCGAAAGCGGCUCGCUGGAUCGCAACUGACGCUGAGGGACGAAAGCGUAGGGGAGCAAACAGGAUUAGAUACUCUGGUAGUCCUAGCCCUAAACCAUCAGGACUUGGGGUUUGCCCUGUACGGGGCAAGUCCCGGAGCUAACGCGUUAAGUCCUGCGCCUGGGGAGUACGGUCGCAAGGCUGAA